rnacentral:rRNA from 1 species
GACAGAGGAUGCAAGCGUUAUCCGGAAUGAUUGGGCGUAAAGCGCGUGUAGGCGGCCACACAGGUCCGCUGUGAAAACUCGAGGCUCAACCUCGAGCUGUCGGUGGAAACCGUGUGGCUAGAGUCCGGAAGAGGAGACUGGAAUUCCCGGUGUAGCGGUGGAAUGCGCAAGAUAGUCGGAGGAACACCCGUGGCGAAGGCGGGUCUCUGGGACGGUACUGACGCUGAGACGCGAAAGCGUGGGGAGCGAACAGG